CCACUGGCCCAAAUGAGGGUAUCGGCGCCUGUUUGUGCGCUGACUCUAGCAAGGAAAACGUCUGUCUAGGUUAGUCAACGAACCUACGGCCUAACAGCAUAAUGCGCUGUACGGCGUGUAACGUUAAGCCCGAGAAACAAGGCUUUGUUAGCGUUGCCGUACGGGUAUAGCCAGCGCUACCAGAGCUACCAACCCAAAAGGGCGGCAAAACGCAUUGUCUCGCUUGACCGUCCGCAUUGCCUAGUGUUUUAAAUGUUAUUCUUCUUUCUGUACUUUAGCCUUGGGACAAGAACGGCAAAGACCGGCUCUCCACUACCCAUGGACAUUCCGAAAAGACUUCAGCCAGCAAAAUCAGCAUCCACUGACACUGCGACUAAUGUGAAUACAUCUACGCUAUUUGGGGCAUGGACUUACGACUUAUUGGGGUUGAUUUUUUCAGCCUCUAUGUCAUGUUUUUCCCCGUCAGUUGCAGCCUGAAACUUGGACGUGCCUUGUCCGUAGAAGUGAGCCAUUUCAUAGCAAUGCAUAUGCGGGUAAAAAUCUGGUCUUUUAUGAACGUCGGUUCUGUGAACGUCUCGUUGUUCACAUCAGCUGCAACUGCUUUUCCACAUCGCUGUGAAAUUACCGAUGGAAUCGUUAUUGGUAUAAUGUCCCUGUUGCGGGCUCGUGAACGCGAUCUGAGCAUUUGGACGCCACCUCGACCUCUCAAUUAACACAGCGCUGUUGAAUUCUAUAAGGCGUCGCAAUGCCUCUUAUACACAUGUUAACAGAUUUGCUGUCGUUUUGAUGUAUCUCCAUAUGUCUCAUGGCUCCUGGUAAGUGUGACUAGGUCGCUAUUUGAUGUGACAAAGCGACCUGAAACAUGUUAUGCAGAAGAUAAGUUAGACUGCCUCCGUAUUUGGCAACUCGUGCUUCAUGCUGGACUGGUUGCGUCGGUUGCCACUUAAGCUAAAACGGGGCGUGCGGAGCGGUUGGGGCUGCGCUGGUUUUUGGGCGUCGUUGCCGAUACGGUGGCUCAAGGUUUUCACUUUGCAAGGGGAACCGAAUAAAUAUGAAGAAGCGCUUUAGGCGAUUCACGACAAGGCUGCCUGAUGCAACUUUACAUAAAGCAUACUUAAUAUCCUGCUUGCCAUUCAUGCCAACAGACCCAUUCAUCUAACCCCCCACACGCACUGCAUAAUCCGGCUGAACGCCAUCCUUCCUGCUCGCCGCCGUAUCUGGGCUCUAUCCAGGCGGGAUAACAAGGCUGCAGCGGAUCAGAGGUUGGACUGCAACCGCAAACGAAGCGGUGCAUGGGUCGGCCUGUUUCAUAGAAGCAUACCUUCCCUUAUAAAUGCUUAUCGCCGCUUUGGCACGACGGUAUGCAUUGUUCCUGGGUUGACGACAUAAUUUACACCGGUCGUCCAAGGCCCUUAAUCGCUUAGACCCUCAAUUCAGGCAAUUCAGGUAAGACAUGUCAGCGGCUUGGCUCCUGAUAAAAGCUGGUCACAAAAGAUGUCCUAUCAUUGAAGCUGCAAGGAUGGCACAUUUCUGAUGCUGAAAAGAUAAUGAAGGUAGCGCGCAUAUGCUUGGCAGUCCAAAUUGCGGGCGGAUUCCUCAUGAGUGUGGCGCACACUUUCUCUGAGGGCGAGGUCCAGUUGUGCAGAUGGUGCCCCUAUGGGAAAUGUGUAACUUGUGCUCUGCUAGGACUGCACCUCUCAGCCAUCUUCGACCAUGAGCCUACCGUCUGGGGUAUGGUUUGAGUAUGUUCAGGUGCUUGUUAUGGAGCCCCUGCACUUGUGGGCGGAGGGGUUGAGUUGAGUAUCCGCGUGCCUGCAGCAGCAAAACUUUCGUAGCCCUGCCUGGUCAAUCUUGUACGUUUUGACUUUUUUAAAAGCCCUACUG
rnacentral:lncRNA from 1 species